UUGAACGCUGGCGGCAGGCCUAACACAUGCAAGUCGAGCGGAUGAAGGGAGCUUGCUCCUGGAUUCAGCGGCGGACGGGUGAGUAAUGCCUAGGAAUCUGCCUGGUAGUGGGGGAUAACGUCCGGAAACGGGCGCUAAUACCGCAUACGUCCUGAGGGAGAAAGUGGGGGAUCUUCGGACCUCACGCUAUCAGAUGAGCCUAGGUCGGAUUAGCUAGUUGGUGGGGUAAAGGCCUACCAAGGCGACGAUCCGUAACUGGUCUGAGAGGAUGGUCAGUCACACUGGAACUGAGACACGGUCCAGACUCCUACGGGAGGCAGCAGUGGGGAAUAUUGGACAAUGGGCGAAAGCCUGAUCCAGCCAUGCCGCGUGUGUGAAGAAGGUCUUCGGAUUGUAAAGCACUUUAAGUUGGGAGGAAGGGCAGCAAGUUAAUACCUUGCUGUUUUGACGUUACCAACAGAAUAAGCACCGGCUAACUUCGUG
rnacentral:rRNA from 1 species